rnacentral:rRNA from 1 species
UACAGGGGGUGCAAACGUUGCUCGGAAUUAUUGGGCGUAAAGCGCGCGUAGGCGGCCACUUAAGUCGGAUGUGAAAGCCCCUGGCUCAACUGGGGAAGUGCACCCGAAACUGAAUGGCUUGAGUGCGAAAGAGGGUCGCGGAAUUCCCGGUGUAGAGGUGAAAUUCGUAGAUAUCGGGAGGAACACCGGGUGGCGAAGGCGGCGACCUGGGUCGACACUGACGCUGAGGCGCGAAAGCGUGGGGAGCAAACAGG